rnacentral:rRNA from 1 species
GACGUAGGGCGCGAGCGUUGCUCGGAUUGACUGGGCGUAAAGGGCGCGUAGGCGGUUCGUACAGUCAGACGUGAAAUUCCUGGGCUCAACCUGGGGGCUGCGUUUGAUACGUGCGGACUUGAGUGCGGAAGAGGGUCGUGGAAUUCCCAGUGUAGAGGUGAAAUUCGUAGAUAUCGGGAAGAACACCCGUGGCGAAGGCGGCUCUCUGGGACGGUACUGACGCUGAGACGCGAAAGCGUGGGGAGCGAACAGG